rnacentral:rRNA from 1 species
CAGUCGAACGGAGCUUAGAGAGCUUGCUUUUUAAGCUUAGUGGCGAACGGGUGAGUAACGCGUGAGUAACCUGCCCUAGAGUGGGGGACAACAGUUGGAAACGACUGCUAAUACCGCAUAAGCCCACGGUGCCGCAUGGCACUGAGGGAAAAGGAUUUAUUCGCUUUAGGAUGGACUCGCGUCCAAUUAGCUAGUUGGUGAGGUAACGGCCCACCAAGGCGACGAUUGGUAGCCGGACUGAGAGGUUGAACGGCCACAUUGGGACUGAGACACGGCCCAGACUCCUACGGGAGGCAGCAGUGGGGGAUAUUGCACAAUGGGGGAAACCCUGAUGCAGCGACGCCGCGUGGAGGAAGAAGGUUUUCGGAUUGUAAACUCCUGUCGUUAGGGACGAUAAUGACGGUACCUAACAAGAAAGCACCGGCUAACUACGUGCCAGCAGCCGCGGUAAAACGUAGGGUGCAAGCGUUGUCCGGAAUUACUGGGUGUAAAGGGAGCGCAGGCGGGAAGACAAGUUGGAAGUGAAAACCAUGGGCUCAACCCAUGAAUUGCUUUCAAAACUGUUUUUCUUGAGUAGUGCAGAGGUAGAUGGAAUUCCCGGUGUAGCGGUGGAAUGCGUAGAUAUCGGGAGGAACACCAGUGGCGAAGGCGGUCUACUGGGCACCAACUGACGCUGAGGCUCGAAAGCAUGGGUAGCAAACAGGAUUAGAUACCCUGGUAGUCCAUGCCGUANACGAUGAUUACUAGGUGUUGGGGNAUUGACCCCCUCAGUGCCGCAGUUAACACAAUAAGUAAUCCACCUGGGGAGUACGACCGCAAGGUUGAAACU